rnacentral:lncRNA from 1 species
GUUUCUUGGUAAUUCUUAGAGAAAAUUCAAAUAAUAUGUUCAGCCAUUGGAAUCUGAAUUAUUCAAAAGAAUUUUUAGAAUCCAGAAAGAUAUUUGAUAUUAAAAGAAAGGAAAUUAUACUACUAAAUCUUUACUAAAUUGAGAAUUUUCUGUGACAUAGGGAUUGUGACUAGAAGAAAUUCUGAUUAAGUUAUAUUAAAUUGAAUGUUAGCAAUAUGGGAAUGUCAUUCUUCACUGAUCUCUUCCAACAAACCAGAAGCCUUUAAUUAUAAGAUUUAGCAUCUGGUGUAGGCCUUUUCAAAUAUUUCCUCAAGUUUCUAUUCUCCUUUAUAUCCAUUACGCUUUACAGUACCUUUAAGAAAUACUCUACAAGUGCCAAUAAUUUAGAAUGUUGAUAUAUCAAUGUCUGGUUAAGCAUAGCAAGGAAUUCAAUAUAAGAAAGAAAAUGAGAGUUUGAGCAGAAGAGUUACUUGCACACAAAAGAAAAGGGAAUCUCUAGUUAUCUUUGGUCUAGCAGCACAAUCCUAAAAUUAUUUUUUGUUGACAAUAAAAAAUGAUACACAGAAAAUAUUAGGAUGAAAAUUCUGUAUGUUUUCAAGUCUUGGGCUUCUCAGAAAUAGGAAGCAUUUAUGUCUUAUUUCAUAAAUUUGACCUGGAUUAAGCAAAAAAUAGAAAGAAAAUCCUUUUAGUAUUAACUAUUUCAAAUAAUUUUGAGAAGGCAUUUGUAUGAUAAUGUGCUUAGACUUGUAACAUUGUGCUUAGUAGUGACCAUUUGCUCUGUUGCUUUGGACACCAUUACCUCCACACAUUGUACUUUUUUUUUUUAGCAGAAUAUUCACUCUGCGUAGCCUCACAAUAUUUAUUACUGUCAUUUAAUAUAUAGUAGAACCUUAUCAUUGCCAUAGUCCCAAGUUUUCAAUUCUACAAAUAUUUCUAUGACAAGGUGCAAUAAUAAGGUUAAUAUUUGUUGUUCAAUUUUUUGUAGGUGUACAACAUAUGGAAUGAUGGAAUAAAAUGGGUUAACAGGAAUAAUAGUGAUGUAAUUACAUGUAUAUGACUUAAUGUGCUUCUUAGAUAGUCAAAAUUCUAUUUGCCUUACUGCUUGAAAAAAAAAGACCUAAUAUUUGACAAGUAUCCAAGACAGUGUCCAUGAACUUUUAAGAAUAAAACAUCUUAUAGAUGAUUGAUUGCUACCAUUUUUUUGGUUGAAUUUGAUUAUGAAUUCUUAGUGAGUAACUGCUUCCAUGAGUACUCACUAUACUAUUUUUACAAGAACUGAGAAUUAGGAAAUUGCUCCCACUGACAUAAAGCAUGUUGCAACUUCAAACCCAAAUACACAAAAUCCUAGAAAUUCUGGCAAAAGGACUAUGAGUCCCUUAUUAACUAACUGGGAUUUUAAAACAUAGCUUCCUCUAGAGAGUAAAUUGAGCAAAUAGCUUUCACAAAAUGUUUUACUUUGAAUCAUUUUGGUUUCAAAAAACCCGCAGUAUUAGUAAGUCAAACUAGAAGUUAUUUUCUUUGGAACAGAAUGUCCUUUCAGAAUAGUUUUAAACUUUUGCCCAAUUUAAAUCAGAGACCAGACUAAUGAAUACUAUGACCAGGGAUUAUGCCAUAGAAAAAAAAUAUACUAGUGAUUAAUGUUAGACCACAAGCUGGUCUCGGUCACAAUAUGGCUAUGUACAAG